GACUUCCCCGCUCUCUCGGCCUUAGCGCCAUCUUCCUUGGUGAGUGUCGUUGUAGCUGGUCUUCGGGCUUCGAGGACAAUCCGUUAACAUCUGACUUCUGCAGUUACCAUCAUCGCAGCAAAUUAACUGGGACCUUUUUUCUCUUUUGCCGUAGACACCCUUGCGCCAUGAGAGCGAAGUGGAGGAAGAAGAGAAUGCGCAGACUGAAGCGCAAGAGAAGAAAGAUGAGGCAGAGGUCCAAGUAAACUCGCCUGUCCACCCACGAAGGCCGCGGGAGCAGCAGUAAGGGACGCUGGGACAAGUCGGACUGAGCUGCAGUCGGAAGACAUCUGCGGACCCGCGAGCUCGCCACCUGCCGGCAUGACAGCAGCCCCGCCGGCCCUUUGCCCUGGACCUGUGGCGUUCUGGACUAGUUCUGUCCUCACUUGUGGCCAAUUGUAACGCGUGUACAAUAAACCAUCUUUGUCGCUGUCAGCUGAA